CUUCUUCUGGAGGUCUAAACUGAGUCUAUUUUCGUUAAGUUUAAAACUGGUUUUAAGAAACUAUGAGUGAUAAGAAUACCACCUUGCUGGUUUAAACCUCAGACUACGUUUAAACUAGUAGCUUAGAUAGGUCAGAAUACGGGAAUCAGUGUUUACAAUCUUUAAACUAUGGUCACCGACACAUUGACUACAAAAGGUCUGAUGUACACUCCUUGGCAUAGUGAGCCAAAUUUACUACAUUUAAAGCACUGAAUUAAGGAAAAAUAAUCAGCAAUCCCACAUUUACUCCAUUCGAUAUUCACGAUAUUUAUAUGUUUAGAAUCUUUGCUUUUACCCCAUUUGAAUUUGAAAACCAUCUCCUUUGCAAAUUCUUCCUUCUCAUUAUAUUCUGUUCGAAUUUCAUCAUUUUGUUCAAAGAUAAACUCAGGAAUCUCUUUGUCACCAAUUUCUUGGGGCACAUUGUAUAUGACAAUCUUAGGCAGUUUUUUGACAGGCUUUCGUAGCUGUCAAAUCUUUGAUCUUAUUGAUUUCAGCAUUUACGACAUCCACUUCAGUUGCCAUUAUUGACCUCAAUGACGACUGAUUUCUUUCUUAAUAAUCUAAUAUUACGAACUCCCACCUUGAAAGUCUCAGCAUUGAUCACACUCUUGACCUUCGUCUUUGUCAGCCCAGAGCUCCCCUUUGUGGGCGCUCAUUAUCAGAAGAUUUUGUCCACUUAGCAAUGUUUUCGGUUUCGACAUCUCGACAUAACUUUCAACUUUCGGUCCUCUUUCCUUAUGUUCAAUAUCAUGUCCAACUUCUUGUGGACCCUAACAAUCUCACUGUUGAGGUUAGAAGAUUGCUACUCCAGGAUGGGGAGCAAUGUCUUGACAGUCUUGUCAAAACUUUCAAGGAUGAAAAGCGAGUGAUUUUUCGUCUCCAAUCUAGAGGAUUGAUUGUCAUUCAUAUAAGCAACUAGUUCACUUCUUAUUUUGGUUUUUCCGAGCAUAUAGGAGAAAAUUCCUCUUCAUCUCCUUGCCGGAGAUUCCCUUCCGUCCCGAUUGCCCAUGAUAAUUAGUAAGAGUGGCAGUGAAAACUGUCGUUUACAGAUUUGCUGUUAGUUCCCCUGCAAAGCAGGGGUUAACGGGGCGACCACGGGAAGGUCAGCAGAUAGUGCGUGUAUUAUGCUUAGCAAAAAGUGAAAGUAGGAUCACAGAAAAGUGGAAAAUUUUGUUAAAAGCAAAUUAGUAACUGAGCGAUAUGCUAAGAACACACUAAGAGCCCCAAUACCUUUAUACAGUCUAAGUUCACUAAGGGGCUCUCAGUGGGUUAGCAUUUUAACAAAAAUCUCUGUACCUGGCUGAUGAGUGUAUUGACAUACGGCGGUGUCUCUACGGCGUAUUUCUGGUGGGGCUGGGCAACUCAUACCCUAGAUUUGGGGGAGAAUUGAUGAAAUCCGUUUCGUUCUUUCGGGCCUCGUUUGAAUUUCUAUAGAGAGGUCCUGCAGUGUCAGCCAUACCCUGUUUAGCCAGCGCCGGGACCCCAUACGCUGUCUCAAGUCAAAAAAUUCCUAUUGUGUAAGUAGAGCCUGGCAGCACCCAAUCCUCGCUGAUGGAUGCUCUGUAUUUCGCCACUCUAUAACCCGAGUCCCCGUGGGUCCGAGAUUAAGAAUCGUCCUGACCUAUGACCUGCGUGAAGUAAAAAGUCCUCUAACAGGGUUCCACAUCUCAGGAUAGCGUACCAUGCUGACGGGAUGAAUGGCCGAGAGAUAGAAACCUUAACAUACCCAUCCGAGAGUUGGUCUGGCUAGGACUGUAAGGGAUUCGUCCACAGACUAGCGGAGCUUUUCCCUAGGAGCUUUUUCCUAGGGAAUUAUAAAACAUGGUGGAGUUACUCCAAGCGGUAUUCGACCGCGCCAGAGCCAGGCCAUUGCACGGCGACGGUCGAUAUCAUCCCAACGAUGGCUUGCCGUAGUCAAUGACUGCCCGUAGGCUGCAUCGGGUUCGAAGCGGUGAGAUGAAGUCAUCUUUUGACCAAAAAAGAAAAGCAUCACUUCUCAGACUGCCACUGUUUCUUUUUGGUCAUGAUGCCACUUUUCAUUCAAUUAGAACAUUAAGUAACUGGGCGAAACAAACCCUUCUACAGGCUGUCCAUCCCUGCGGAGGGGUCAGCCGUGUAGUGAAGGAGGGCGACGGACGAGCCGAGCCCGGACACUAUGAUAAACAUUUUCAAGGUAAGAAUCGAUACUUGAACCCGAGUCUUCCAGAAUGGAAAGCCGAAGCGUUCCCACGCGGCCAAUCCAGCUGACACUGUCACCAUUUAGGUUUUUAUCCCUCUGCG
rnacentral:lncRNA from 1 species